GACGAACGCUGGCGGCGUGCUUAACACAUGCAAGUCGAACGGAAAGGCCCUGCUUUUGUGGGGUGCUCGAGUGGCGAACGGGUGAGUAACACGUGAGUAACCUGCCCUUGACUUUGGGAUAACUUCAGGAAACUGGGGCUAAUACCGGAUAGGAGCUCCUGCUGCAUGGUGGGGGUUGGAAAGUUUCGGCGGUUGGGGAUGGACUCGCGGCUUAUCAGCUCGUUGGUGGGGUAGUGGCUUACCAAGGCUUUGACGGGUAGCCGGCCUGAGAGGGUGACCGGCCACAUUGGGACUGAGAUACGGCCCAGACUCCUACGGGGGGCAGCAGUGGGGAAUAUUGCACAAUGGGCGGAAGCCUGAUGCAGCAACGCCGCGUGCGGGAUGACGGCCUUCGGGUUGUAAACCGCUUUCGCCUGUGACGAAGCGUGAGUGACGGUAAUGGGUAAAGAAGCACCGGCUAACUACGUGCCAGCAGCCGCGGUGAUACGUAGGGUGCGAGCGUUGUCCGGAUUUAUUGGGCGUAAAGGGCUCGUAGGUGGUUGAUCGCGUCGGAAGUGUAAUCUUGGGGCUUAACCCUGAGCGUGCUUUCGAUACGGGUUGACUUGAGGAAGGUAGGGGAGAAUGGAAUUCCUGGUGGAGCGGUGGAAUGCGCAGAUAUCAGGAGGAACACCAGUGGCGAAGGCGGUUCUCUGGGCCUUUCCUGACGCUGAGGAGCGAAAGCGUGGGGAGCGAACAGGCUUAGGUACCCUGGUAGUCCACGCUGUAAACGGUGGGUACUAGGUGUGGGGUCCAUUCCACGGGUUCCGUGCCGUAGCUAACGCUUUAAGUACCCCGCCUGGGGAGUACGGCCGCAAGGCUAAAACUCAAAGGAAUUGACGGGGCCCCGCACAAGCGGCGGAGCAUGCGGAUUAAUUCGAUGCAACGCGUAGAACCUUACCUGGGUUUGACAUGGAUCGGGAGUGCUCAGAGAUGGGUGUGCCUCUUUUGGGGUCGGUUCACAGGUGGUGCAUGGCUGUCGUCAGCUCAUGUCGUGAGAUGUUGGGUUAAGUCCCGCAACGAGCGCAACCCUUGUUCACUGUUGCCAGCACGUUAUGGUGGGGACUCAGUGGAGACCGCCGGGGUCAACUCGGAGGAAGGUGGGGAUGACGUCAAGUCAUCAUGCCCCUUACGUCCAGGGCUUCACGCAUGCUACAAUGGCUGGUACAGAGAGUGGCGAGCCUGUGAGGGUGAGCGAAUCUCGGAAAGCCGGUCUCAGUUCGGAUUGGGGUCUGCAACUCGACCUCAUGAAGUCGGAGUCGCUAGUAAUCGCAGAUCAGCAACGCUGCGGUGAAUACGUUCCCGGGGCU
rnacentral:rRNA from 1 species